rnacentral:tRNA from 1 species
GGGAGUUUGGUCUAGUGGUAUGAUUCUCGCUUAGGGUCUCUCUAGCAUGCGAGAGGUCGUGGGUUCAAUUCCCGCAACUCCCC